AAGUGUCCCUGAAUGCAUCAUGAUGAUGUUUUCUGAUGUUUGGAUGUUUGCAGGCUCAUACAGUCUGGCCCCUGUGGAUAAAAUGGAAACACCACCGCCUUAACUUGUGUUAUUUAUAUUUUUAACUUUGUAAAUGCAGCCAGGGAGGAAUAUUUCAAUAUUUAACAAAGUUAUAACAACUUGAUUUAUUGGUUUAGGUAACAGGUGAGAUAUAAUCCUCACGUGGUUUUCUCCAAGUGGUGUUUCUGCUGUUGCUGUGAGUGCUGAUGGUGCAGAUGUAGAUCAGAUCAGUUUCACUGUCUGAAAGUAUCAGAGAACUACUGAUGUUGUAGAGCUGCUGCUCAGUCUGCUGGAUGCUGGUUUGGUUCUGGAGGGUCAGGUUGGAUGGAGGUCUGGUGGACCAGGUGAGAUCAGGUUCAGGGUAGAUCCCCUCUGAGCUGCAGAUGAUCCUGUUUCCUACCUGCUCCAUGUUGACUUUACUGACUGGAGCUGCAAGAAAAGAGGAUGUUGA